UUCGUUCUUUGAAAAUGAUCCACGGUUUAGAAUGGGCUUGUGUUCCUCGUGCCUGAUUCCCCAGGUUGGCAUUUUCUGAAAUAAAAUCCUUUCCCUUGAUGGACUUCCUUGUGAGGAGCAAAUCUCCUCUGGCACGCUUACAACCAUGGGAUGCAUAAAUGCAAGCAAUUCGAGGAGAGAUCAAAUUGUCUGUAGCAAUAACUUGCCCUUAAUAGAGUAACAGAGAGACAGGGCCCAUGCUUUUCACAGAUGGAGGAGACAGUAAUGAUUCAAGGGGCACAGAAAGACCUGUCCACUAAAAAAGAAAAUCUUACCCACUGCAAAAUAUCCACCAGCACUUUAGGUUAAGGUACUGUCUCCAAAAAGUCAUGUGUUAAAGGCAAAUACCUGGGAGAGGUGACAUUUGGCUGUUAUCACCUUCCCUUAGAUUCACUGACCAACAUAUAGCUAACAGUUGAGCCCUGAGAAAGUGGGGCAGGAAAGUUCACGUGUAUUGGAAGAAGACGAGUGAAGGUCUAGAUUUUAAGUGCUGACCCAGAAAACCAGGACAUCAUGGACCCUUGAAAGAAGGGUAGGUGGCACCUAGCCCCCUGCUUGGGCUGAAUGGUGUCCCCCCAAAAGGUAUAUUGAAGUCCUAACCUCUGAUACCUAUGAAUAGGACUUUAUUUGGCAAUGGGGUAUUUGCAGAUCUACCCACGGGUGGGCCCUAGUCCAACAUGGACGGUGUCCCUAUAAGAAGAGGGAAAUUUGGAUACAGGCACCAGGCCAUGGGAAAACAAAGACAGAGAUUGGAGGGACGCAGCUACAAGCCUAAGAACGCCAAGGAUGCUGGCCGUCUCCAAAAGCUGGGAGAGAGACAUGGAACAGAUCCCUCGGAAGGAAGCAACCAUGCCAACACCUUGAUUUUGGACUUCCAGCCUCCAGAACUGUGAGCGAAUAAAUUUCUGUUGUUUAAGACACCCAGUUUGUGGUACUUCGUUGUAGCAGCCCUAAGGAAACCAAGGCACCCCCAAAGCAACCGUAGUCAGGGCGUCGGCAUUCAGUGUCCGGGCUGGUCUUGAAAUCAAGAUCAAAUUUUGGUCUAACCAUUCUCUUGGUGCCUGAGCUUUAACAGAUAAAACAAAUACCAGCAGGAAUAUCCCUUUUGGUUUAGAGAUGUAUGUCAUCAGGAAAAAGACAGACUGCCUGUUCUUUUUUCCCAAAUGUCUUCUGUAAGGUAAUCUUUUUAAUUAGGAUAAUUAAAUUCUUGUUUCAAAGGGCACCAAAGUGCAAGCAUUAUCGUCUGAUUUCCUGUAAAGAGUAUUUUCCUGCCUCCUGUUCCACAAGGUGUCCAUUAACAGGAGAAGCACCAAGUGAGUCAGACAUUAUGGUUACAGGUUUGUGGCUCGUGUCAGCGCUAAGAAGAGGGAAAUGAGAAAGGAAAACAUAAAUUGGGAAACAGUGUCAGAGGGCAGGCCAAGAUAAUGGAAGAACCAGAAAGCAGAGGAAAAGGGUGUUGUGUGGGAACCAAAACCUCGCUUCAGCCCGAGUUCAGUAACAGAAAUCAGUGAGAUGUGUCCUCUCCCCUGAUUCAUAACUGCCGUGUGACCCGAACCUUUCUUAGCUCCAAGUUGCCUGUGAAACUGACUAGUAAUUCCUGCGGUGUAUUUCUAUCACUGAGAUCUGGGGAAGGAUUUGGGGAGUUCUGUGGGUAAGGCAACAAGCAAGUCCAAGACAGAAAUGAGUCAACUGGAAUAUCUUGUGAAAAUGUUGAUAUAUUGCCCCCGUGGCCAGCACGUAAAGCUGCGAAUCGGCGGGACCAGGUCCUGGGACAAGUUCUCAGAUGCACCCACGAGCUCCGUUCUGCCCCAUUACUCCUCAUCUAUCGCUGCCACCUCCCCCCGCCCGGCCCCCAGUGAGUGGGCCACACACGUGCAGCUAAGAAAGUCAGGGAAUACUUCGCGGCAACUCUCUCCUCUCUGUGCUGUGAAGAAUGAACCCAACUCCAUGCCUUCUUCACAGAAGACCAGCCUGCCAUCCUUUACAUUUUUUUCCUAGAAGAUGGUAUAUCAUCUUAAAAGCCUGGUUUAAUUUGCUUUUCUCUAAGCUUUGUGGUAUUUUUUAUAUGCCAUUAGUCAGUUAUUGCAUGUUACUAGCAACAAUAGUCCCACCUAAUGUAUUUAAUUUGUUUUGAAAAUCAUAACACAUCUUUAUGCACAGAAGCGGCAGCUUUUAACUCCAUUGAUGACUUCCUCUUUAAAAGUCCUCCUUUAAAUCCCUAACCACAUUCUUCUUGGUUUUCUUCCUACCCACUAACCAGGCUCUGCUGUCUUCACUCAGUCCUUAAAUGGCGGUAUUUCCAGGGCCCAGCUGGGGCUCUCCGUUCUCCUCGUUCUGAUCACCGUACUUCAGUGACUUUUUCACCACCCACAGCUGCAAUACCUACCUGUAUAUACUGCAGACUCAAAAAUGCAUCUCCCCAGUAAGACUUCCCUCCUGCACAUGCAAAUAAAUACUGGGCAUCACCACCUGAUGGUCUCAAAGGCUCCUCUGAUUUGCCGUGUCCAAAAUGGAGAUGGCCAUAUCUUCUGCCCACCUGCCAUGUUCCCCAAAAACCCGGUGACCGUCACCUCCUGGGUUCCUCAGGUGGAAAUCUUGAGACUCAUCCCACUAUAUCUCUAAAAGUGUUAUCAGUUCUGUGAGUCAUACUCUGCAUUCUCUCUUCUACCUGAUCCUUUUCCUUGAUCACCACUGGCACUGCCUCAUUUUAAGCAUAUCUCAAAUCCCAAGAAUGGCCCCACUAGCCUCUCAACUGGUCACCCUGGCCCCACUCUCACCCAGGGAGCUUCCUCCUUCUGACACAGCAGGGGAUGGAGUUGCACUGAGGCCUGACGGAGCAGCUAGCAGAGAGAAGAAUGCCACCUUUUAUGUGCUUUAAAGAUACUUCUUGAUCUUCUUUGUAUCUGCCUUACUUGAACAUUAUUUCAUCACAGUCUUAAUAACUGCUAUCUUGACAUAUCCUUAAAUACAAUAGAAAAGGACGUGCCAAGAGAAAUAACUAAUCCGCUGCCCACCCCACCCAUAACUAGACUUGUGGUCUUAUCAUCUGCUAAUUCAUCCUGCAGUCCCACAUUGGCUAAAAGUGCUCUUCUGAUGCUUUUUGCUUUCAUGUCUAUCUUCUCCCUAAACGUGUAAGCUUCUUAAGGGCAGGGGCCAUGUUAUCCUUGUAGUUCAACUUCUCAGGGAGUUACUGCUACCAAGUACAUAUUCAGUAUGUGUUCACUGAUUUAAUUCACCACUGCCAAUUUGGUUAUGCCAAAGCCCUACUUAAAAAUCCUUCAGCCGUUCCCCAAAGCACCCAAAAUACAAUUUAUAUCCCUUAGUGUGGCCCACAAAGCUUUCGUGAGCUGACUGCUCCUUGCCUUUCUUUCGUGAGCUGACUGCUCCUUGCCUUUUUUUCCAUCAUCUGUCACCAUCAGCCAACCGCAUCUGCCUGGACACACUCCCUUCUAUUUUGUUUGUCCUCCAGAACAUAGCUCAAGGAUCACUUUCUUAGACAAUCUUCCCUGAAACCCUAAUCUUAGACAUGCCCCUCCUCUUGGCUUCUGUAUGAAUCCUGUAUAUGCUUCAUGAAUGCACUAUCCAAAGGUUGAGUGGCCAAAAGUCAUGUGUUCCUGAAAGGUCAACAGUGUGAACAUUCUGACUCCAGCACCUAGCAAGAAUUAAGAAAAUGUGAGUCUUCUGGAAGGAGACUGUCAGCAACAUCUAGUCCCCCACGGACUGCAGGCAUUAGCCAAAUAGAAGAACAAUUCAGUGACAAGACAGAAAAUAACAUAGAAAGUGAACCAUGUAAAAAUAAGGAACCGCAGAAAGACCCUGAUGCACGCAAGAAAUUUGUAACUUAAUACACCUGAAGGUUUUUGAGAACGAUUUAUGAUUGCACUGGGGCAUAAAUUUUACCCAUGUGGAUGAACCACUCCACGUCUCAAAUAACCACUAAUUACGUAUAGCGGCAUCCACCACCACUACCCACAUCCAGAUAUUGAACGAAUUAUAAAAUGAGUGAGGCAAAACUCACUCCAAUCCAAGUGAGGUAGGUUAAAGGGAAAUAGGAAUAGGAAUAAACAAGCCUUCUACCUAAUACCGACAGUGAACAUAGCCUUUCAACUAUUUUAGCAAUGACUCAGAUGAGGAACACAAACUAUACAAAAGAGGAAGAAGUCUGAAGUCGUCUGGGAUGCAUUUUCUUCAACUUCUCUGGAAUUGUCAAUUACCUCAGUUUCCUGACAAAGCUUUGCUGAUGUCAGUAAUUUACAGUAACAAUCGGCGAGAUAACAGCAGAGUCCUGAUGUUGUUCAAGUAGGAGAUAGCAGGGCUCUAACUUACAUAUACCUUAGAAAAGGUAUAACCCUCCUCAAUUCCCAGUGGAUGGACCACGACUGGUGAUCUUAUUCACCAGAUGCCAGCAGUCUAGGGAUGAGCGUGUGACCCUUGCUAGCCAAUGAAAGGAAAAGGGGAAUAUGCUGAAGGACAUGUUCGAAAAAUUUCUUCACUCACAAAAGAAGAAAAACAAGUGAAGAAAUCCUGCUCCAGCUCUUCUUCCCUACCUUCCAGAAUGGUGUUCAAUAACCAGCAUGAAGUGGGUACCUACUAUGUGUGUGCUGUGUUCUAAAGAGAAGGAAGAUGAAGGUGAAGAUGUGAAGUGCGACACCAGUGAUGUCCAUAGAACGCCUCAAUGCCGCAGUGUGGUAAGAAUGUCUUACAGACUUGAGUUUAAAGCAGAGUGUAACCCCUAAGCCUGAAUGAAG